rnacentral:snRNA from 1 species
AUGUCAGGACAAGCUGGCGGUGGCAUCUGUUACUCUAUUGAUCGUUUCUUCAAAAGCUUUGGCCAGUUGAGUGGGUGUCUCCUUUCUCUUCACCUAU